rnacentral:rRNA from 1 species
CCUACGGGGGUCUGCAGUGGGGAAUAUUGGGCAAUGGGCGCAAGCCUGACCCAGCAACGCCGCGUGAAGGAAGAAGGCUUUCGGGUUGUAAACUUCUUUUCUCAGGGACGAAGAAAGUGACGGUACCUGAGGAAUAAGCCACGGCUAACUACGUGCCAGCAGCCGCGGUAAUACGUAGGUGGCAAGCGUUAUCCGGAUUUACUGGGUGUAAAGGGCGUGUAGGCGGGAAAGCAAGUCAGAUGUGAAAACCAUGGGCUCAACCUGUGGCCUGCAUUUGAAACUGUUUUUCUUGAGUACUGGAGAGGCAGACGGAAUUCCUCGUGUAGCGGUGAAAUGCGUAGAUAUGAGGAGGAACACCAGUGGCGAAGGCGACUAUCUGGCACAUAACUGACGCUGAGGAGCGAAAGCGUGGGUAGCAAACAGGAUUAGAUACCCGUGUAGUC